GAAUUCGCCCUUAGAGUUUGAUCCUUGCUCAGGACGAACGCUGGCGGCGCGCCUAACACAUGCAAGUCGAACGAGCGAGAGAGAGCUUGCUUUCUCAAGCGAGUGGCGAACGGGUGAGUAACGCGUGAGGAACCUGCCUCAAAGAGGGGGACAACAGUUGGAAACGACUGCUAAUACCGCAUAAGCCCACGGGUCGGCAUCGACCAGAGGGAAAAGGAGCAAUCCGCUUUGAGAUGGCCUCGCGUCCGAUUAGCUAGUUGGUGAGGUAACGGCCCACCAAGGCAACGAUCGGUAGCCGGACUGAGAGGUUGAACGGCCACAUUGGGACUGAGACACGGCCCAGACUCCUACGGGAGGCAGCAGUGGGGAAUAUUGCACAAUGGGGGAAACCCUGAUGCAGCGACGCCGCGUGGAGGAAGAAGGUCUUCGGAUUGUAAACUCCUGUUGUUGAGGAAGAUAAUGACGGUACUCAACAAGGAAGUGACGGCUAACUACGUGCCAGCAGCCGCGGUAAAACGUAGGUCACAAGCGUUGUCCGGAAUUACUGGGUGUAAAGGGAGCGCAGGCGGGAAGACAAGUUGGAAGUGAAAUCCAUGGGCUCAACCCAUGAACUGCUUUCAAAACUGUUUUUCUUGAGUAGUGCAGAGGUAGGCGGAAUUCCCGGUGUAGCGGUGGAAUGCGUAGAUAUCGGGAGGAACACCAGUGGGCGAAGGCGGCCUACUGGGCACCAACUGACGCUGAGGCUCGAAAGUGUGGGUAGCAAACAGGAUUAGAUACCCUGGUAGUCCACACCGUAAACGAUGAUUACUAGGUGUUGGAGGAUUGACCCCUUCAGUGCCGCAGUUAACACAAUAAGUAAUCCACCUGGGGAGUACGACCGCAAGGUUGAAACUCAAAGGAAUUGACGGGGGCCCGCACAAGCAGUGGAGUAUGUGGUUUAAUUCGACGCAACGCGAAGAACCUUACCAAGUCUUGACAUCCCUUGACGAUGCUGGAAACAGUAUUUCUCUUCGGAGCAAGGAGACAGGUGGUGCAUGGUUGUCGUCAGCUCGUGUCGUGAGAUGUUGGGUUAAGUCCCGCAACGAGCGCAACCCUUAUGGUCAGUUACUACGCAAGAGGACUCUGGCCAGACUGCCGUUGACAAAACGGAGGAAGGUGGGGAUGACGUCAAAUCAUCAUGCCCUUUAUGACUUGGGCUACACACGUACUACAAUGGCGUUAAACAAAGAGAAGCAAGACCGCGAGGUGGAGCAAAACUCAGAAACAACGUCCCAGUUCGGACUGCAGGCUGCAACUCGCCUGCACGAAGUCGGAAUUGCUAGUAAUCGUGGAUCAGCAUGCCACGGUGAAAACGUUCCCGGGCCUUGCACACACCGCCCGUCA
rnacentral:rRNA from 1 species